rnacentral:rRNA from 1 species
UGAACGCUAGCUACAGGCUUAACACAUGCAAGUCGAGGGGCAUCAGGAAGAAAGCUUGCUUUCUUUGCUGGCGACCGGCGCACGGGUGAGUAACACGUAUCCAACCUGCCCUUUACUCGGGGAUAGCCUUUCGAAAGAAAGAUUAAUACCCGAUAGCAUAAUGAUUCCGCAUGGUUUCAUUAUUAAAGGAUUCCGGUAAAGGAUGGGGAUGCGUUCCAUUAGGUUGUUGGUGAGGUAACGGCCCACCAAGCCUUCGAUGGAUAGGGGUUCUGAGAGGAAGGUCCCCCACAUUGGAACUGAGACACGGUCCAAACUCCUACGGGAGGCAGCAGUGAGGAAUAUUGGUCAAUGGGCGCUAGCCUGAACCAGCCAAGUAGCGUGAAGGAUGAAGGCUCUAUGGGUCGUAAACUUCUUUUAUAUAAGAAUAAAGUGCAGUAUGUAUACUGUUUUGUAUGUAUUAUAUGAAUAAGGAUCGGCUAACUCCGUGCCAGCAGCCGCGGUAAUACGGAGGAUCCGAGCGUUAUCCGGAUUUAUUGGGUUUAAAGGGAGCGUAGGUGGACUGGUAAGUCAGUUGUGAAAGUUUGCGGCUCAACCGUAAAAUUGCAGUUGAUACUGUCAGUCUUGAGUACAGUAGAGGUGGGCGGAAUUCGUGGUGUAGCGGUGAAAUGCUUAGAUAUCACGAAGAACUCCGAUUGCGAAGGCAGCUCACUGGACUGCAACUGACACUGAUGCUCGAAAGUGUGGGUAUCAAACAGGAUUAGAUACCCUGGUAGUCCACACAGUAAAACGAUGAAUACUC